rnacentral:rRNA from 1 species
AUGGAGGCGGUGGAUGCGGGAGAUGGGGACGAGGCCGUCGCGGUGGUGUGCCUGGACCACAUCCUCAAGCACGCCGGUGGCGCCACGGAGGAGGCCGAGCGCAUCCGCCGCUGCCACAACGCCGACGGCGCCAUGGAGUACUGGCUCGAGCCGGAUGAGCUCGCGGCCCUGCGCCGGGAGGUCGGCGCCGACCCGUACUGGGUGCCGCCAGGGUGGAAGCGCGGAGACCCCGUGUCCGCUGACGGCUACGCGCUCAACGUAAAGAUGCAGGUGGAGGAGCUCAGCAAGGAGCUCGCCGGAGUAAAAAGGAGCAGAAAGGAGCAGCGAGCAGCGGCGGCUGACCUCGAGCUCUCGAUUGGAGUGGAGGGAGGCGGCCGACGAGGGAUCUGCGGCCAGCGGGGAAGGAUCCUGAGCUGCGGCGGAGCAGCCAGCCGAUGGGGAAAGGCGGCCGCCGACGAGGGAGCUCCGGACCGCGGCGAGGCAGCUUCCGAUCGCGGCGGGGAAGGGCGACCAAAGAGGGGAUCUGGCUCUCGAUUGGAGCAGCGCAGGCAACCUCCGGGGAAGGACGCCGGAGAUGCGGACGGCGGAGGAGCCUGGCGAAGGGAAGGAGCGACGGAGAAAGACGACGACCCGAGCGAUUUCAAAGCAGGGGCAGUUUUGUAA